CCCUUAGAUGUUCUGGGCCGCACGCGCGCUACACUGAUGCAUUCAACGAGCCUAUCCUUGACCGACAGGUCCGGGUAAUCUUUGAAUCUGCAUCGUGACGGGGAUAGAUUAUUGCAAUUAUUAAUCUUCAACGAGGAAUGCCUAGUAGGCGCGAGUCAUGACCUCGCGUCGACUGCGUCCCUGCCCUUUGUACACACCGCCCGUCGCUACUACCGAUCGAGCGCCCUAGCGAGGUCGUCCGAUUGUCGCCGAGGCCGGCUUUCGCGAGCUGCGCAUCCGACGAAAAGGCGAUCGAACUCGAGCGCUUAGAGGAAGUAAAAGUCGUAACA
rnacentral:rRNA from 1 species